rnacentral:lncRNA from 1 species
GGUUUCCGAGGACAUGACCCUUGAUAGAAAAGUCUGGAGGUCUAGAAUCAGGGUUGUAGGAUUGGGGCUCCAAGAGUUUUUCAUACGCCUCAUCCGGGGUUGGGUGUGGGCCAGCAGGGUUACCCAUAGAUGAUUUGUAUUUUAGCUUAUGUCCCCCCUAUGGCUGUUAGUUAUGGUAGUAACUAUAUGAUAUUAUUGCAUGCGAUUGUAUUAAUGUUUCGUAUGUUUAGAUAAUUAUUUACGCUAUU